CCAUCCUCCAUAGUGGAUGUAUCCUGGAAUGGUAUAUCCUCGAAAGAUCCGUCGCCUUAGGAUGGGACUGCGUCCGAUUAGGUUGUUGGCGGGUAACGGCCACCAAGCCAUUGAUCGGUACGGGUUGUGGGAGCAAGAUCCCGGAGAUGGAUUCUGAGACAUGAAUCCAGGCCCUACGGGGCGCAGCAGGCGCGCAAACUUUACAAUGCGAGCAAUCGUGAUAAGGAAACCCUGAGUGCCUGUCGAUGCAGGCUGUUCAUAUAUCUAAAUCAUAUGUGAAGAAAGGGCAGGGCAAGACCGGUGCCAGCCGCCGCGGUAAUACCGGCUGCUCGAGUGAUGGCCACUAUUACUGGGUUUAAAGCGUCCGUAGCUUGACUGUUAGGUCUCUUGGGAAAACUUCGCGCUUAACGUGAAGGCGUCUAAGAGAUACCGGCAGUCUUGGAACUGGGAGAGGUAAACCGUACUUCGGGGGUAGGAGUGAAAUCUUGUAAUCCUCGAGGGACGACCUAUGGCGAAGGCAGUUUACCAGAACAGCUUCGACAGUGAGGGACGAAAGCUGGGGGAGCAAACGGGAUUAGAUACCCCGGUAGUCCCAGCCGUAAACAAUGUGCGUUAGGUGUGUCGGUAACCACGUGUUACUGAUGCGCCGAAGAGAAAUCGUGAAACGCACCACCUGGGAAGUACGGUCGCAAGGCUGAAACUUAAAGGAAUUGGCGGGGGAGCACCACAACAGGUGGAGCCUGCGGUUUAAUUGGAUUCAACGCCGG
rnacentral:rRNA from 1 species